UACAGAGGUCCCAAGCGUUGUUCGGAUUUACUGGGCGUAAAGGGUGCGUAGGUGGUUGGAUAAGUCUGAUGUGAAAUCUCCGGGCUCAACCCGGAAAUGGCAUUGGAUACUAUUCGACUCGAGGGUUGGAGGGGGGACUGGAAUACUUGGUGUAGCAGUGAAAUGCGUAGAUAUCAAGUGGAACACCAGUGGCGAAGGCGAGUCCCUGGACAACUCCUGACACUGAGGCACGAAAGCUAGGGGAGCAAACAGG
rnacentral:rRNA from 1 species